rnacentral:pre_miRNA from 1 species
AACAGGUUUGCUGGGUCAUAUGGUUAAUGACAUGUUUAACUUUGUAAGAAACUGACAAACUGUUUUCCAGAAGGGUUGUGCCAUUUGGAAUUCCCACUGGCAAC